GAUGAACGCUGGCGGCGUGCCUAAUACAUGCAAGUCGAGCGAACAGACGAGGAGCUUGCUCCUCUGACGUUAGCGGCGGACGGGUGAGUAACACGUGGAUAACCUACCUAUAAGACUGGGAUAACUUCGGGAAACCGGAGCUAAUACCGGAUAAUAUAUUGAACCGCAUGGUUCAAUAGUGAAAGACGGUUUUGCUGUCACUUAUAGAUGGAUCCGCGCCGCAUUAGCUAGUUGGUAAGGUAACGGCUUACCAAGGCAACGAUGCGUAGCCGACCUGAGAGGGGGGUCGGCCACACUGGAAAUGGGACACGGUCCAGGCUCCUAAGGGAGGCAGCAGUAGGGAAUCUUCCGGAAUGGGCGGAAGGCUGGCGGAGCAACGGCGCGGGAGUGAAGAAGGUCUUCGGAUCGUAAAACUCUGUUAUUAGGGAAGAACAAAUGUGUAAGUAACUAUGCACGUCUUGACGGUACCUAAUCAGAAAGCCACGGCUAACUACGUG
rnacentral:rRNA from 1 species